UACAGAGGGGGCAAGCGUUGUUCGGAAUUACUGGGCGUAAAGGGCGCGUAGGCGGCCUGCUAAGUCGAACGUGAAAUCCCUGGGCUCAACCCAGGAACUGCGUCCGAUACUGGUUGGCUUGAAUCCGGGAGAGGGACGUGGAAUUCCAGGUGUAGCGGUGAAAUGCGUAGAUAUCUGGAGGAACACCGGUGGCGAAGGCGACGUCCUGGACCGGCAUUGACGCUGAGGCACGAAAGCGUGGGGAGCAAACAGG
rnacentral:rRNA from 1 species